rnacentral:lncRNA from 1 species
AAAAUCUCACACUACGUAUGAUGGUUAGAAGCAGGGAUGUUUCCCUGGGUGUGCUGCUGCAUGCUUGUAAUGCUAACAUUUUGGAGGCUGAGGUAGAAGGACUACCACAAGUCAACCAAGACUGUCUCAAAACAAAAAGAAGAUAGAUUUUAACCCACAGCUUCCAGUAGGACAGGAAUAUGGAUAUUGAUUUGUGAUCCUCAGGAUUAAACACAUAACUGCAAGUAGAGUGAUGUAACUGUUAACCAAGCCUUUCAUUGUAAAAGUUGUACAGUUAAUAGAAUGCGUAGAACUUGGUUUCUGUACUUGGCUUGGUUUCUAAUAAUCUAAGUUUCCAGUAGUUAUCUAAAGAAAUAAUACAUUAUUUGGUAAUUAAUCCUCCCCAUAAGUCACUGUAAAACAGAAUAGAAUUCUUUGUUUUGGCCAGGUCAAAACUGUGCCCAGGCUAGCCUUGAAUUCAAGACAACUCUCCUGUUCUCGGCCUCCUAAGUGUUGAGAUUAUAGGCAUGAGUCACCACACCUGCAUUUUCAGCCAGAAUCCCCAGUAAAAACAUUAUAACACUGAAUAGUUAGUUCUAGCAGUUAUCAGACACUAAAUUACAUAACCUUCUUGUUGCAUUUUCUUUAUUAGAUUCAAAGAGCUGUUUUUGUUUGUUUGUUUGUUUGUUUGUUUGUUUGUUUAAUAAUGUUUCCAGCACUGUAAGAGUUUUAUACUGGUCAAUUUGGUCAUACCUUAGCUGUUUUUUUCUUAGAACUUGUGUGUAUAGCUAACAUG